rnacentral:lncRNA from 1 species
CUGAUCCAGAGAGGAGGUUAUCCUCUGCAGGCUCCUGUGAAAGAGCACACUGUUCUCACAGUGCUGGAGCAGAGUCCAGCCAUGAUGUCAUCCCAGCUCCACAAGAGGUCUGAAGGCCCAGCAUCUCUCCUCCACCUGC